GAUGAACGCUGGCGGCGUGCCUAAUACAUGCAAGUCGAGCGAACAGACGAGGAGCUUGCUCCUCUGACGUUAGCGGCGGACGGGUGAGUAACACGUGGAUAACCUACCUAUAAGACUGGGAUAACUUCGGGAAACCGGAGCUAAUACCGGAUAAUAUAUUGAACCGCAUGGUUCAAUAGUGAAAGACGGUUUUGCUGUCACUUAUAGAUGGAUCCGCGCCGCAUUAGCUAGUUGGUAAGGUAACGGCUUACCAAGGCAACGAUGCGUAGCCGACCUGAGAGGGUGAUCGGCCACACUGGAACUGAGACACGGUCCAGACUCCUACGGGAGGCAGCAGUAGGGAAUCUUCCGCAAUGGGCGAAAGCCUGACGGAGCAACGCCGCGUGAGUGAUGAAGGUCUUCGGAUCGUAAAACUCUGUUAUUAGGGAAGAACAAAUGUGUAAGUAACUAUGCACGUCUUGACGGUACCUAAUCAGAAAGCCACGGCUACCUACGUG
rnacentral:rRNA from 1 species